AGAAAACUUAAUCUCAAUCGCAAAACAAUGUCGUUGUACUAGUAGGACAUGUUAUAGGAAUCGCUAAAAAGCAAACACAUUGAACAUGCCACAUACAAUAACCACAUAUUUUCUGGAAUGUUACUCUCAACAGAAAAUGCAGUAAUUAACAGGGUCUAAAACAGGAAAAUUACACUGCUAGAACUGCUGUUAGAUUUAAGCAAAUAAUGCAAAUUAGCAGGAGCUCCUGGUGGCUCAACCGCAUGCAAACAUGCCACGUAGGCAGCUUGGUCAACCCAACGGAUAAGGAAGAGUAGACAGGGAUAUCCACAGAAGGAGUAGAUUCGAUCCCCAAUGCACAUGACCAAGACCGGAGGGACUCCAGCCGCGCUCUUCCUCGGAGGCACCUACGGCCGGUCGUCCGCAUCACGGGCGACGGGAGGAACUCCAGCCGCGCUAUUCAUCGUCAGAGUCGUCGGGGAGGCGGAUGCCAGGCACGGCCCGAGCGCUGUUGGGCCCCAAGUUCUCUCGCGGGCAGUGCGGCUGGUCGACGGCGGGCUGCGGUUGCUCGACGCUGUGAAGGCGGAGGCCACGCGGCGCCGGCGAGUGCCAGUGUGCGGCGAGGGCGCCGCGGCGGUGCGAAGCCGGGCGAGGCCUGGUGCAGGGUGGGCGCGCGCGAGGGCGGCCUCGGCCUGGCGCAGGGGCCCGACCACGGGUGUGGCGCGGGCACGGCCAUGCGGCGGGGGCGCUUUGGCGCGACUGCAUCAACAUCGACGACUGCGGCGUCGGAGGAGCCGCUCAUGACGCGCAUGCCGAAGGGCGACCCUGUAGAGGGCCGGCGCCACUGAUCUGCGCGGAUGCGCGUUUCCGUCGCGGGACGCGAAGCCGGUGGUUCCGGUCGCCCAGUCCAGCGCGGGAUCGAGGCCAGACGCUGAUGGCAAGAUGGCGAUGAGCGCCACCACCAGUCCAGCGAAGAUGGUAAUGAAGAAUCGAAGUGACAGUUAAAGACCUAGAGAUUUGUCGUCGUGGCCGUGCACGGCGCGAAGAUGCCGAUUGGAAGCGCUUUCGCCGGGCUGAGGAAAGCGUGCUGAUAACGUGUUGAGAUGUAAACGAGAGACAAUCGAAUAAAUGAUUGGACUGUGGAUUCCAUUGAA